rnacentral:rRNA from 1 species
UACGAAGGGGGCUAGCGUUGCUCGGAAUCACUGGGCGUAAAGCGCACGUAGGCGGCUUUUUAAGUCAGGGGUGAAAUCCUGGAGCUCAACUCCAGAACUGCCUUUGAUACUGAGAAGCUUGAGUCCGGGAGAGGUGAGUGGAACUGCGAGUGUAGAGGUGAAAUUCGUAGAUAUUCGGAAGAACACCAGUGGCGAAGGCGACUCACUGGACAUGUAUUGACGCUGAGGUGCGAAAGCGUGGGGAGCAAACAGG